UCCGGGUUGGUCCCGGCGGUCCGGCCAGACGUGGUAACUGGCCGCGGGGGUUGCGCUCGUUGCGGGACUUAACCCAACACCUCACGGCACGAGCUGACGACAGCCGUGCAGCACCUGUGCCGGCUCCCUCGCGGGUCGCUCGGGUUUCCCCUCGCUACCACCGGCAUGUCAAGCCCGGGUAAGGUUCUUCGCGUUGCAUCGAAUUAAACCACACGCUCCGCUGCUUGUGCGGGCCCCCGUCAAUUCCUUUGAGUUUUAGCCUUGCGGCCGUACUCCCCAGGCGGGCCACUUAACGCGUAAGCUGCGGCGCAGAGGGGGUCGAUACCCCCCACACCUAGUGGCCAUCGUUUACGGCGUGGACUAC
rnacentral:misc_RNA from 1 species